UGGGGUGUCGUUCAAUGGUAGGACUACCGACUCUGGAUCGGUCAAUUGGGGUUCGAAUCCCUGCACCCCAGCCA
rnacentral:tRNA from 1 species